UACGGGGGGAGCAAGCGUUGUUCGGAUUUACUGGGCGUAAAGGGCGCGUAGGCGGCUUAUCAAGUCAGGCGUGAAAUUCCCGGGACUCAACCUGGGGGCUGCGCUUGAUACUGAUUGGCUUGAAUGCGGGAGAGGAUAGUGGAAUUCCCAGUGUAGAGGUGAAAUUCGUAGAUAUUGGGAAGAACACCGGUGGCGAAGGCGGCUAUCUGGCCCGUAAUUGGAC
rnacentral:rRNA from 1 species